rnacentral:tRNA from 1 species
GGUGAGAUGGCAGAGUGGUCUAAUGCGAUUGACUCGAAAUCAAUUGUACCUAUUUCAGGUACCCAGGGUUCAAAUCCCUGUCUCACCGCCA